GACGAACGCUGGCGGCGUGCUUAACACAUGCAAGUCGAACGAAGUGGCGAACGGGUGAGUAACGCGUAAUCAACCUGCCCUUCAGAGGGGGACAACAGUUGGAAACGACUGCUAAUACCGCAUACUGAAGGAGGGGAUUGCGUCUGAUUAGCUCGCUGGAGGGGUAAUGGCCCACCAAGGCGAAGAUCAGUAGCCGGGCUGGGAGGGGGAACCGCCAAAUUGGGACUGAGACACGGCCCAGAAUCCUACGGGAAGGAGCAGGGGGGAAUCAUCCGCAAUGGACGAAAGUCUGACGGAGCAAAGCCGGGUGAGUGAUGACAGCCUUCGGGUUGUAAAGCUCUGUUAAUCGGGACGCGGUACCGGAAUAGAAAGCCACGGCUAACUACGUGCCAGCAGCCGCGGUAAUAC
rnacentral:rRNA from 1 species